rnacentral:rRNA from 1 species
GUGUCAGCAGCCGCGGUAAUACGUAGGGGGCGAGCGUUGUCCGGAUUUACUGGGCGUAAAGCGCGUGUAGGCGGUACUCUAAGUCCGGGGUGAAAUCCGGGGGCUUAACCCCCGAACGGCGCCGGAAACUGGAGCGCUUGAGUGUCGGAGAGGGGAGUGGAAUUCUCGGUGUAGCGGUGAAAUGCGUAGAGAUCGAGAGGAACACCCGUGGCGAAGGCGGCUCCCUGGCCGAACACUGACGCUGAGACGCGAAAGCGUGGGGAGCGAACGGGAUUAGAUACCCGAGUAGUCC